rnacentral:rRNA from 1 species
GACGACGCUGGCGGCGUGCUUAACACAUGCAAGUUGAACGGAGUAUGUUGGAAGGGUAACCGGAAGACAUAUUUAGUGGCGAACGGGUGAGUAAUGCAUGAGAACGUAUCCUCAAGAGGGGGACAACAUUGGGAAACCGAUGCUAAUACCCCAUAAGCCGGGAGGUAAAAGGAGCAAUCCGCUUGAGGAGCGGUUCAUGUCCUAUCAGCUAGUUGGUGAGGUAACGGCUCACCAAGGCGAAGACGGGUAGCCGGCCUGAGAGGGUGAACGGCCACACUGGAACUGAGAGACGGUCCAGACUCCUACGGGAGGCAGCAGUGGGGAAUAUUGGGCAAUGGGGGAAACCCUGACCCAGCGACGCCGCGUGAGGGAAGAAGGCCUUAGGGUCGUAAACCUCUGUUGUGUGGGAAGAAGAGCGUGACGGUACCACACGAGGAAGUCCCGGCUAACUACGUG